ACUGGGCUACUCUGGAGCAAAAAAGAUGUAAGCCUCGAAAACUCUUCCUUGCGCCGCCGGAAGUCAGGGAUCGCAGGCGGGAUUUAUUGUUCGGUCGGCAGCCAAGAAAGAGGUCCUCGGAGAAUGUGCAGAAGACUCGGGGUGCGGGAGGACGAAGCCCCCCUGCCCGAGAUCGACUUUCCUGGCCCAAAGGAAUAGCCUGGACUCGAAUGAGGCAGGGAAGCGGCCGGCCCGCAAGAGCCCCCCCCCCGCCCCCUGUUUUUCCCCAAAUCUGGUUUUCAUCCAGCCGCCUGGUCUUCGCAGGCAUUCCUGCAAGUCUCUCCCGGGAGUCUUGAAGCCGAUGGCCUUGUCCGGCCCGGAGCCAGGACGCCGCUGCCCCGGACCAUCCGCGCGGGGUGGGGGUUCGGUCCCCGCAGCCUUCUUCUGAGGAUGGGGCUGUCCGUCCGCAAACAGCCCGGGCGCCCCCCCCCCCCGCCCAGCAAGGCCUCGGAGCCGCCCCCUCCCUCCCUCCCUCCCUUCCCGGGCUGCGGGCCUGGAGGGCGGGAGGCAGGCGGCUGGUGUGCCCAGCCGAAUCUGCUUGUCAGCCGUGACAGAUCCCAGACUCCAGCGCUACUGUAAGGCAGAUUGAGUUUCCCCGGCUCGGCCUGGCCUCCUUCCGCCCUCCCGCCUGUCCUCCCGCGCCGUCUAGUCUUCAGGCAGCCUUCCCCGCAGGACCACUCGGCCGGCGUCCAGGGGCUCAGCCGCCGCCUCCCGCUUUGCUCCCCGAGAUCGCCGCCCGCCCGGGAAAGCCACCUGCAGGAGAUCCCAGGAACGGAACCAUCUCACUGAACGUUAUACAACUGGACUUGAAAGUAGUUAAAGGAAUGGACAUUGCUCAUUAAGGAGUGGAUCAAAGUCCAGGCCAAUCCACUGGAAAGUCUUCUGCAAUGGAAAGAAAACUUCCCAGCUGACUGAAGCUGUAACAUGUUUGCUGAAGCCUAUGGAAGUUUGCAAACCACUGCAUUGGGAAAAAACUCUGUCCUCAUGUCUUUAUGCCUGUGCAGGGAAGCAACAUCAAAGCAUCCAUCAGGCACAAUGUGGAACACACAUGGCAAGACUGAAGGGGUUUACUGGCCAAACGUGUUUUCUAGCCAUUUCCAGAUCAAGCAGAAUGGCUCAAAGCUGUAAACACACCAUUACUGUUCUGCUCAGUGGCAAGAAAGAGCUCAAAACAGAGUUCACAGUUCCAACAUUUCCAUUAAGUGAAUACUGGAAAGACAUGGGUGGGUAAAGCAGUUGGAUCCUUUUUUUAAGUGGUUCACAGAUUUAGAGUAGACAAAAUGUGUUGUGGUAACAUUGUUUUCUCAGGUUGAAAAUGAGGCUUCAUUUAAUUUAUAGGCUUUGCAUGAACAGAUUUGUAGCUCUGCAGAGAAUGUAAGCAGGUAGCAACACUUGCUCUCAGUUUAGCAAACCUACAAAGAACAAUUCAACAUUUUUGAGCAGGCAUUUUUAGGAUUUAGUUUGAUUUUCAGGGAAGGCUUCAAGAUCACAGCUUGCCUUCUUCAGUUUCAGCAACUUUUAUUUUAAUGAGUCCAUCAUACAAGCCAAAAAGAACAGCUCAUAUGGACUAGCGGCUCAGAAAACUUCUGUAUAUCACCUGGAAGAUGUGUGAGCAGCAUGGUAGUAUAAUUCACAGACACACACAUACUAUGCAUUCCUCUCAAAGAAAGCCAGCCUUUUGCCAUGAGAACUGUGAUGUGGAAAACAUUUUGCUGUUAUGAACAGCUAGAAUGCAGCAUUUUUCAAUAACAUGGCACAUGUUUCUCGAUAAAACCAGAGACCACAAGAACUUUUCAAGGGAGUGGUAUCCUCGGCAAGCUGAUGGUUACAAAAUAAAACCAAAACAAAGAAAGACCUUACAAUAUCCCUUCAGCUCUCUGAAGACUCCCGAAAGAGGUGAGUGACUUUCUAUGAGCCCCUGCAGAGAUCCUGCCUCACCAGCAGAGUAUGAAGGACUAAGGGGAAAGGAAGGGGAAAGGAUUUUAUACAGGCUAAUAGACAAGCUCUAAAUGCACACAAACACACACACAGACCUUAUACUGAGCCAGGCCAUCAGUCCAUCAAGGCCAGUAUUAUUUGAUCAGACGGCCGGUGGUUCUCCAGAGACUCAAGUAGAGGUCCUUUAUGUCACCUGUUGCCUGGCCCUUUUUAACUGGAGGUUGAACCUGGGACCUUCUGCAUAGCCCCUCUCUGCAUCGAACAAGAAGUCAGACAGCUGACUGGGGAGAUGUCUCAUAUAGGCAGCCUACUUGUUUACAUUACUUCUUAUCUGUGUACUACAAUACUAGGCACAGCUAACUGGGAAUUGACCUUGGCAGGCCUGCCACAGUGUAAAAUGAGGUAAAUGAAGGUGCUGGUGGAUAUACACUAUUGGCUCCUUUCCAUAUGAUGGUUUUCCACAUGUACAUCCACCACUACAGAUGAGCAGAGGAAAACUGGGGGGGGGGGGUCUUUGAGAACUAUAGGUGUUCAAAGUUCUUUUGAUCCAAGCAGACUGGCUGUCAUUAACUAAGGACUGCUUAAGUGAACACUGAAGAAUAGGAUUGGGGGCAGGGGGGCAACCUUUAUUUAUUUGUGUCUACGUCUGCACAUCAAGCCACCAUUUCCCCAGCAUUUUUCACCUGCCAUGUCACUACAAGGUUUUUGGAGGUUUCUGUUUUGACAAAUCAGUAAUUAUUAUUGUGCUAUUGCAAUCCAACAAUCCAAAAAUCUAACAAUGUAUGGUUCUUUCCUUUUUCUUUCAUAUGAAAGCUGGGACUUCAGCAAUCCUGUCAACACAUUGUUAGAGCACUAGGUUGCAAUAGCUCAGUAGCAAUCACUGUUUUUUUUAAAAAAAAAAAAAGCUCCAAAGGCAACAGAGAAAAAGGUGGCCAUUGCUUCAGGAAAAUACCAUUUAUGCUGUACUGCAUUGUUAGAAAGGAAUACAGUGAACUAGCUUGUAGAAGAGCCAUACACUGAUCAACAGAUAGUUGAAGUGACCCUUGAAUAUUGGCUCCCUGUUUGUGAAUGGCAAACAGGACAUGAGCCGAACCAGCAUCUGAGCAUCCUUAAUAACAGAUUCCUGAUCUAAGGAGCUUAUGAUUUAAAUCUCAGUAGCGGGGGAGAUGCCUGAGGAGUGGAAGAGAAGAAAAAGAUAUUUGUGACUAUCACACAAAUGCAGAGCAGUGCUUUCUCGGGACAUCUGAGGUUUGCAACAUACACCCUUCUAUUACAUUAUGCUAAAGAUGAGGAGCAUAUGUGGAGAAGCCUUUAAAGUCACUGGCAUUCGUAGCUGUUGAAUUAUGUAAAAAUGUAACAUUGUGCAUAUGGACAAGGAAGCUUUGCAUGUGUACGUGUGUGUGUGUGUGCGUGCGUGUGUUUUGUUAAAUCUCCAGCUUUCCUCUGGGAGUGCCACUAUCACCUCUGAAAGCUGAGUGGAGAUAUAAUAAUUCAAUUUCACAAGUAUGUGUGUGGGCGAGGAAAAGAUGAAGGAGCAUGCUGAAAAUAUGUCAUGGAUAGAAGAAAACACCAAAUAACAGAUGCUUUGAAGCACAUCCAAAAACAGUGCUUGGAGCUAGAAAGAAGACUUUAAGGAUCUUUUUUCCAUGCAAUGAUUCACAUUUUACAGUCAACAACACCCCAGUCAUGUGGGAAUGCUGAAUUUCAUGCCUAAAGUUGUUACUCGUCUUGGCUGAUCAAUGAGCAACUAUGUGAUGCAACAGCCUCUUCACUGUUCAACACAGAAGCAAAAAGAACAAAGAAAUGAAUGGCAAGCACAGUUCUGUGGGUUGCCCUGUUUAUGUGGUACUUUCAAUGCUACUUCUACACCUCAUUGAACCAAUGAUGCUAAUGCUAAAAGAGGCUGAGUACAUCACACCUCACAUGAUCAAUGCUUCUAUAUAUUACCAAAGUCUUUUAGCUUCAUUUCUGUAUGGCCCACGCAGAAACCCGGGGUCAGGGACUCUUACUGCAAAACUGCAAGCUUUUGAUUUCACCGUUCACAUUUUGAUUCCACUUACUGUAAUUUUCUUUCCCGAGUGGGCUCUUCUAUUGAAGGCAGCGCUGCAGGAAAAGGAGUUCCGCUGGCAGAUUAGAAACGUUCGGGAGAGAAGUACAAAGCUGCAAGUUUCCGCAGUUCAAACUGCACAGAAGAAUGCAAAUUCAGAGUGUUCAAGGGAAGAUCAAAUCUCCAGACGUUAGAAAAAUGAGACUUCCCAUGCCUCAGUCAAACAUAUCAUGCUGGGUUGAUGAAGAACAGGACCAGCAGUUGGAGGGAGGUUGCUGAUGGAUAUGCAAAUUAAAUUAGGAGCACUUUCCGACAAGCGGUGGAAAAGAGAACAGAUGGAUGAGCAAACAUUCAUACAAGAGUCUAGGUCGUUAGUACAUGCUUUGGUUGCUUUGUUCUUGAGGAUCUGAUGUUACCAUUUUAUUGUAAUUUUUGAGGAUCUGAUGUUCUUGAGGAUCUGAUGACAUGAUGCUACCAUUUUAUUGUAAUUUUUAAUAUUGAAAUUGUAGUUUUUAUGAACUGUUUUAUUGAUAGUUCAUCUAUUGAUAAUU